rnacentral:rRNA from 1 species
AGCGAACGCUGGCGGCAGGCCUAACACAUGCAAGUCGAACGGACCCUUCGGGGUUAGUGGCGGACGGGUGAGUAACACGUGGGAACGUGCCUUUAGGUUCGGAAUAGCUCCUGGAAACGGGUGGUAAUGCCGAAUGUGCCCUUCGGGGGAAAGAUUUGUCGCCUUUAGAGCGGCCCGCGUCUGAUUAGCUUGUUGGUGGGGUAAUGGCCCACCAAGGCUACGAUCAGUAGCUGGUCUGAGAGGAUGACCAGCCACAUUGGGACUGAGACACGGCCCAAACUCCUACGGGAGGCAGCAGUGGGGAAUCUUGCGCAAUGGGCGAAAGCCUGACGCAGCCAUGCCGCGUGUAUGAUGAAGGUCUUAGGAUUGUAAAAUACUUUCACCGGUGAAGAUAAUGACUGUAGCCGGAGAAGAAGCCCCGGCUAACUUCGUGCCAGCAGCCGCGGUAAUACGAAGGGGGCUAGCGUUGCUCGGAAUUACUGGGCGUAAAGGGAGCGUAGGCGGACAUUUAAGUC